rnacentral:lncRNA from 1 species
GGACCGGAGGCGCGACCCCUCGGCCCAGCUUGAGGCCCGGCCUAGGACCGGAGGCGCGACCCCUCGGCCCACCUUGCGGGAGCCGCCUAGGACCGGAGGCGCGACCCCUCGGCCCACCUUGAGGCCCGGCCUAGGACCGGAGGCGCGACCCCUGGGCCCACCUUGAGGCCCGGCCUAGGACUGGAGGCGCGACCCCUCGGCCCACCUUACGGGAGCCGCCUAGGGCCGGAGGCGCGACCCCUCGGCCCAGCUUGAGGCCCGGCCUAGGACCGGAGGCGCGACCCCUCGGCCCACCUUGAGGCCCGGCCUAGGACUGGAGGCGCGACCCCUCGGCCCACCUUGAGGCCCGGCCUAGGACCGGAGGCGCGACCCCUGGGCCCACCUUGAGGCCCGGCCUAGGACUGGAGGCGCGACCCCUCGGCCCACCUUGAGGCCCGGCCUAGGACCGGAGGCGCGACCCCUGGGCCCACCUGGCGGCCCGGCCGGCACAGCCCGCCUCUCCUCUCCAGGCCAGGGCCCCACACCUUCCGCCUGACAGCCAGCCAAGCUCUUCAGUCCCCCGCCCUCCACCUGCCAGGGAGGCUCCGGGCGUUGUACCUGCCACCACGGGGUAGGUCUGACACAUAUACUCACAGAAAUGAGUUAUUUAAAGAAGACGGUCCAGAUUCCACAGUCC